rnacentral:rRNA from 1 species
UAUGUGAUCGUCUCUCGCAUAUCAAUAAGCGGAGGAAAAGAAACUAACAAGGAUUCCCCUAGUAACGGCGAGUGAAGCGGGAAGAGCUCAAAUUUGAAAUCUUAAAGGGUUUCCCUUUACGAAUUGUAGUUUAAAGAAGUGUUUUCUGUUGAGGUUUUGGUAAAAGUUCUUUGGAAUAGGACAUCAUAGAGGGUGAGAAUCCCGUAUUUGACCUUUACUUUCAACUUUGUGAUACACUUUCAAAGAGUCGGAUUGUUUGGGAAUGCAAUCCAAAAUGGGUGGUAAAUUUCAUCUAAAGCUAAAUAUUGGCGAGAGACCGAUAGCGAACAAGUACCGUGAGGGAAAGAUGAAAAGAACUUUGAAAAGAGAGUUAAACAGUACUGUGAAAUUGUCAAAAGGGAAGCGUUUGACACCAGUGUUGUUUUUCUGAAAAUCAAUUAAAGAACUGUUUAUGCUAAGCUGUUUAGACUUUAUCAGCUAUCUGUUUAGUUUUGAGCUUUUCUUUAAUGCACUUUUCAGUUAACAAGUCAACAUCAAUUUCUUUUGCUGUAAAAAAGCUUGAGGAAGGUGGCUUGAGAUUCGUCUUAAGUGUUUAUAGCCUCUUGCCUAUGCAGUCCGGAGAGAUUGAGGUCUGCAGCGUAGAUCCUUCGGGGCUAAAUGCAUUUGUGCUAAGUUAUAACAUUUUAUAGACAACUUGUUGACUAUGAUUUGUCUUGUAGCUUACUCGCUUAUGUUAUUUUACCUACGCUUAGGAUGUUGAAGUCAUCGUAUCGCGC